UUUUUUUUUUUUUUUUUAGUAUAUUUCUCUUAUUUGGAGGUUGUGAUGCUAAGUUGCAUCUGUGAAAUUUGGGCUUUGUUUCAGGCGUGUUUGGAUUGUGAAUUCUUUUACGUGAUGAAUCAUGGAAUAAGCCAAGAAUUCAUGGGCCAGGUUUUCUGGGAGAGUAAGAGGUUUUUUGAGCUUCCAUUAGGUGAAAAAAUGAAGGUUUUAGGAACGAGAAGCAUCGAGGCUACACUCCUGUCCUCGACGAGCUUUCGGAUCCUGGUAGUCAAGUAUAUGGUUCGUUACUUAAUGAAUCUCACCUGAGAUUAUCUAUUAUUUGCUAUUUGUUAUAUUUUUGCUUUAAUAGAGUUUAUUUUUUUAAUUUGAAUUUUUUUUUAUUUUAAAUGGAAGUAAUUAUUAUUACAACAAUAAUUAAGCUUUAAUCACAAAUUAGCCGGAGAUUACAAGGAGGGCUACUAUAUUGGAGUUGAAGUGCCUGAAGAUGAUCCUCAAGCAGAGAAGCCAUUUUAUGGGCCAAAUGUUUGGCCAGCAGCCGGUAAUUGAACUUUAUUACAGUGGAGAAGCUUAUUUUGAGUUUGAUGAUUGAUUUUUGAACACUUAAUGCUCGUUAUUCAUGCCCUUUUAAGAAAAAAAAAAAUUAUGAUGUGUGUUAGAUGUUUUGUCUGGUUGGAGGCAAACCAUGGAGAGGUUUCAUAAAGAGGCAUUGUAAGCUUUUGCGAACUUAAUAUGAUUUGUAGAAUACAUAAACCUGUGUAAUAAAGGAUAGCUUGUUUUAUUUGAUGGCCCUUUUAAAUUUUAAUAUUUUCUUCAUACAGAGAGGUUGCAAGAGCAGUUGCAAGGAUCAUAGCACUUGGGCUUGAUCAGGAAGCUGAUUUUUUUGAUAGGCCUGAAAUGCUUGGCCAGCCAAUUGCAGUCAUGCGCUUGCUACACUACGG
rnacentral:misc_RNA from 1 species